UGCGCAGGCGGGCUAUUAAGUCAGUGGUGAAAUCUCUCGGCUAAACCGAGAAACUGCCAUUGAAACUGAUAGUCUUGAGUAUGGUUGUGGUAGGCGGAAUAUAGCAUGUAGCGGUGAAAUGCUUAGAUAUGCUAUAGAACACCGAUCGCGAAGGCAGCUUACCAAACCAUUACUGACGCUCAUGCACGAAAGCGUGGGGAGCAAACAGGAUUAGAUACCCUGGUAGUC
rnacentral:rRNA from 1 species